GCGCCACCGCGGAAGUGCGCCACCGCGAGUGCGUCCGGCCCGCAGAUGACGCUCCUUUGGGGGCGGGCGGACUAGUCCAGCCGUGAGUGGCGGAGCGCUAGUGCCCGCCCCCAGGAUGGCCCAAUCAGAAAGGAGGGGAGGCGGGGACCCCAGGCGCGGCUGGGUCGGCCGCCGGGCCAAUCGGAGGAGCGCUGACUUGGCGGGAGCCUUGACCGCGGCCGCGCUCGCGGGGCUUCUGCGCCGGGGAGGGCGUCCCGCCGCCGGGGCCAUGUUCGUGUCCGAUUUCCGCAGGGAGUUCUACGAGGUGGUCCAGAGCCAGAGGGUCCUGCUUGUCGUGGCCGCCGACGUGGACGCCCUGUGCGCCUGCAAGAUCCUGCAGGCCCUGUUCCAGUGUGACCACGUGCAGUAUACGCUGGUUCCAGUUUCUGGGUGGCAAGAACUUGAAACUGCGUUUCUUGAACAUAAAGAACAGUUCCGCUAUUUUAUCCUCAUAAACUGUGGCGCUAACGUGGACCUUUUGGAUAUCCUUCAACCCGACGAAGACACCGUGUUUUUCGUGUGUGACACGCACAGGCCGGUCAACGUCGUGAACGUGUACAACGAGGUCCAGAUUAAACUGCUCAUUAAACAAGAUGACGACCUUGAAGUUCCUGCGUACGAUGACAUCUUCAGGGAUGAGGAUGAGGGUGAAGACCACUCGGGAAACGAAAGCGACGAGGGCUCAGAGCCUUCCGAGAAGCGCACACGGUUGGAGGAGGAGAUCGCGGAGCGAACCUUGAAGAGGAGGCAGAGAAGAGAGUGGGAGGCCCGGAGGAGAGACAUCCUCUUUGACUACGAGCAGUACGAGUAUCACGGGACAGCGGCGGCCAUGCUGAUGUUCGAUCUGGCGUGGAUGAUGUCCAAGGACCUGGGCGACAUGCUGUGGUGGGCCAUCGUUGGACUCACGGACCAGUGGGUGCAAGACAAGAUCACCCAGAUGAAGUACGUGACCGACGUGGGCCUCCUGCAGCGGCACGUGUCCCGGCACAACCACCGGCACGAGGACGACGAGCACGCGCUCUCCGUCGACUGCAUGCGCAUCUCCUUUGAGUACGACCUCCGCCUGGCGCUCUACCAACACUGGUCACUGCACGACAGCCUGUGUAACACGUGCUACACCGCAGCCAGGUUCAAGCUCUGGUCCCUGCACGGGCAGAAGCGGCUGCAGGAGUUCCUCGCAGACGUUGGUCUCCCCCUGAAACAGGUGAAGCAGAAGUUUCAGUCCAUGGACGUCUCCUUGAAGGAGAAUUUGCGGGAGAUGAUUGAAGAGUCUGCGAAUAAAUUUGGCAUGAAGGACAUGCGUAUCCAGACGUUCAGCGUCCAUUUUGGCUUCAAGCAUAAGUUCCUGGCCAGUGAUGUGGUCUUCGCCACCAUGUCUCUGAUGGAGAGCCCUGAGAAGGACGGCUCCGGGACGGAUAACUUCAUCCAGGCUCUGGACAGUCUCUCCAGGGGGAACCUGGACACGCUGUACCGCGGCCUGGAGCUCGCCAAGCGGCGGCUGCGCGCCACACAGCAGACCAUCGCCAGCUGCCUCUGCACCAACCUCGUCAUCUCCCAGGGGCCCUUCCUCUACUGCUCCCUCAUGGAGGUCAGCUCCCCGCCGGCGCGCGGCCCCAGCCCCGCCCGCUGGCUGCCCCUGACCGCCUGCCCCCACCCCGCCCUGCAGGGCACCCCAGACGUCGCACUCUUCUCCAGGCCAGCCGCCCUGAGCCUGCUCGGCAAGCAGCUUCUCAAGUCCUUCGUGUGCUCGACAAAGAACCGGCGCUGCAAGCUGCUGCCCUUGGUGAUGGCCGUGCCCCUGGGCGUGCAGCAGGGCACCGUCACCCUGGUGGGCAUCCCCCCAGAGACUGACAGCUCUGACCGAAAGAAGCCACGAGCUAUGAGUCGGGAGACAAUGGCUCCUGAGACACGUGCCUCCCUGCGGCCGGGCUGCUUCCGGAGCUCUGCCGGGGGUCUCAGAUCCCACGUCACGUGGGUGGGAGCCGGCCAGAGGCUCCUGGGCUGGGUUCCUGAGGCGGCACCAAGGCCGCCUGCGUCCGCUGGGGCCGCCAGUCUGUGCGCGCCUGGGACAGUCGGUGGUGGGCUCGCCGGCCGCACACAGUCUCCUGCGGGGGCAGCUGUGGAGGCGGGGACACUCGCCCCCUCUGUGCGCCCUCCGCUCUCCGCCCUCCAUCCUCUGCCACAGGCCCUGGAGCCCCUCCCCAGGUGCUCCCUGUCUCCACCACACGGCCCCCUCGCGGCAGCUGCAGCCAGGCUGCUCCCUGGGGGUCUCCUGCUCCCCCAACGCGCUGCAGACCCUUCCCUGUCCCCGUCCCACCUGCCUCUCGCCUGCCCGGCCACCAGCACGGUGUCGGGGGGCCAUCCAGGAACACGCCCGCCUGAGGGCUGAGAGGGCUGGUGGGAGGCGGUGGCUGUGCAGAGAGGGGGCUGAGGCCUCGGCUGGUGGCCGGUGAGGGUCUGCUGUGUCCCCGGUGGGGAGGGUCCGCUGCAGGGACAGCCCCGAUGCACCUCUGUGUGUCCCCAGCUUUUUCGGCCGGGCGUUUGAGAAGGCAGCAGAGGGCACCAGCUCCCGGACCCUACACAACCACUUCGAUCUGUCAGUGAUUGAGCUGAAAGCCGAGCACCGCAGCAAGUUCCUGGACGCGCUCGUGUCC